UCCUACGGGAGGCAGCAGUGGGGAAUAUUGCACAAUGGGGGGAACCCUGAUGCAGCGACGCCGCGUGAGCGAUGAAGUAUUUCGGUAUGUAAAGCUCUAUCAGCAGGGAAGAAAAUGACGGUACCUGACUAAGAAGCCCCGGCUAACUACGUGCCAGCAGCCGCGGUAAUACGUAGGGGGCAAGCGUUAUCCGGAUUUACUGGGUGUAAAGGGAGCGUAGACGGCUGUGCAAGUCUGGAGUGAAAGGCAUGGGCUCAACCUGUGGACUGCUUUGGAAACUGUGCGGCUUGAGUGUCGGAGAGGCA
rnacentral:rRNA from 1 species